UACGUAGGGGGCAAGCGUUGUCCGGAAUUACUGGGCGUAAAGCGUGCGCAGGCGGUUUUGUAAGUCUGUUGUGAAAUCCCCGGGCUUAACCUGGGAAUGGCAAUGGAGACUGCAAGGCUAGAGUUUGGCAGAGGGGGGUAGAAUUCCACGUGUAGCAGUGAAAUGCGUAGAGAUGUGGAGGAACACCGAUGGCGAAGGCAGCCCCCUGGGUCAAGACUGACGCUCAUGCACGAAAGCGUGGGGAGCAAACAGG
rnacentral:rRNA from 1 species